GUUGGGUAGGGGAGCGUUCUGUAAGCCUGCGAAGGUGGCCUGUGAGGGUUGCUGGAGGUAUCAGAAGUGCGAAUGCUGACAUAAGUAACGAUAAAGCGGGUGAAAAGCCCGCUCGCCGGAAGACCAAGGGUUCCUGUCCAACGUUAAUCGGGGCAGGGUGAGUCGACCCCUAAGGCGAGGCCGAAAGGCGUAGUCGAUGGGAAACGGGUUAAUAUUCCCGUACUUGGUGUUACUGCGAAGGGGGGACGGAGAAGGCUAUGUUGGCCGGGCGACGGUUGUCCCGGUUUAAGCGUGUAGGUGUGUGUUCCAGGUAAAUCCGGUUCACUUUAACACUGAGGCGUGACGACGAGGCACUACGGUGCUGAAGCAACAAAUGCCCUGCUUCCAGGAAAAGCCUCUAAGCAUCAGGUAACAUCAAAUCGUACCCCAAACCGACACAGGUGGUCAGGUAGAGAAUACCAAGGCGCUUGAGAGAACUCGGGUGAAGGAACUAGGCAAAAUGGUGCCGUAACUUCGGGAGAAGGCACGCUGACACGUAGGUGAAGUGAUUUACUCAUGGAGCUGAAGUCAGUCGAAGAUACCAGCUGGCUGCAACUGUUUAUUAAAAACACAGCACUGUGCAAACACGAAAGUGGACGUAUACGGUGUGACGCCUGCCCGGUGCCGGAAGGUUAAUUGAUGGGGUCAGCGCAAGCGAAGCUCCUGAUCGAAGCCCCGGUAAACGGCGGCCGUAACUAUAACGGUCCUAAGGUAGCGAAAUUCCUUGUCGGGUAAGUUCCGACCUGCACGAAUGGCGUAAUGAUGGCCAGGCUGUCUCCACCCGAGACUCAGUGAAAUUGAACUCGCUGUGAAGAUGCAGUGUACCCGCGGCAAGACGGAAAGACCCCGUGAACCUUUACUAUAGCUUGACACUGAACAUUGAGCCUUGAUGUGUAGGAUAGGUGGGAGGCUUUGAAGUGUGGACGCCAGUCUGCAUGGAGCCGACCUUGAAAUACCACCCUUUAAUGUUUGAUGUUCUAACGUGGACCCGUUACCCGGGUUGCGGACAGUGUCUGGUGGGUAGUUUGACUGGGGCGGUCUCCUCCUAAAGAGUAACGGAGGAGCACGAAGGUUGGCUAAUCCUGGUCGGACAUCAGGAGGUUAGUGCAAUGGCAUAAGCCAGCUUGACUGCGAGCGUGACGGCGCGAGCAGGUGCGAAAGCAGGUCAUAGUGAUCCGGUGGUUCUGAAUGGAAGGGCCAUCGCUCAACGGAUAAAAGGUACUCCGGGGAUAACAGGCUGAUACCGCCCAAGAGUUCAUAUCGACGGCGGUGUUUGGCACCUCGAUGUCGGCUCAUCACAUCCUGGGGCUGAAGUAGGUCCCAAGGGUAUGGCUGUUCGCCAUUUAAAGUGGUACGCGAGCUGGGUUUAGAACGUCGUGAGACAGUUCGGUCCCUAUCUGCCGUGGGCGCUGGAGAACUGAGGGGGGCUGCUCCUAGUACGAGAGGACCGGAGUGGACGCAUCACUGGUGUUCGGGUUGUCAUGCCAAUGGCACUGCCCGGUAGCUAAAUGCGGAAGAGAUAAGUGCUGAAAGCAUCUAAGCACGAAACUUGCCCCGAGAUGAGUUCU
rnacentral:rRNA from 1 species